GGUUAAGCGACUAAGCGUACACGGUGGAUGCCCUGGCAGUCAGAGGCGAUGAAGGACGUGCUAAUCUGCGAAAAGCGUCGGUAAGGUGAUAUGAACCGUUACAGCCGGCGAUGUCCGAAUGGGGAAACCCAGUGCAAUUCGUUGCACUAUCGUUAACUGAAUACAUAGGUUAACGAGGCGAACCGGGGGAACUGAAACAUCUAAGUACCCCGAGGAAAAGAAAUCAACCGAGAUUCCCCCAGUAGCGGCGAGCGAACGGGGAGCAGCCCAGAGUCUGAAUCAGCUUGUGUGUUAGUGGAACGGUCUGGAAAGUCCGACGGUACAGGGUGAUAGUCCCGUACACCAAAAUGCACAGGCUGUGAACUCGAAGAGUAGGGCGGGACACGUGGUAUCCUGUCUGAAUAUGGGGGGACCAUCCUCCAAGGCUAAAUACUCCUGACUGACCGAUAGUGAACCAGUACCGUGAGGGAAAGGCGAAAAGAACCCCGGCGAGGGGAGUGAAAAAGAACCUGAAACCGUGUACGUACAAGCAGUGGGAGCACCUUCGGGUGUGACUGCGUACCUUUUGUAUAAUGGGUCAGCGACUUAUAUUCUGUAGCAAGGUUAACCGUAUAGGGGAGCCGCAGGGAAACCGAGUCUUAACUGGGCGUUAAGUUGCAGGGUAUAGACCCGAAACCCGGUGAUCUAGCCAUGGGCAGGUUGAAGGUUGGGUAACACUAACUGGAGGACCGAACCGACUAAUGUUGAAAAAUUAGCGGAUGACUUGUGGCUGGGGGUGAAAGGCCAAUCAAACCGGGAGAUAGCUGGUUCUCCCCGAAAGCUAUUUAGGUAGCGCCUCGUGAACUCAUCUUCGGGGGUAGAGCACUGUUUCGGCUAGGGGGUCAUCCCGACUUACCAACCCGAUGCAAACUACGAAUACCGAAGAAUGUUAUCACGGGAGACACACGGCGGGUGCUAACGUCCGUCGUGAAGAGGGAAACAACCCAGACCGCCAGCUAAGGUCCCAAAGUCAUGGUUAAGUGGGAAACGAUGUGGGAAGGCACAGACAGCCAGGAUGUUGGCUUAGAAGCAGCCAUCAUUUAAAGAAAGCGUAAUAGCUCACUGGUCGAGUCGGCCUGCGCGGAAGAUGUAACGGGGCUAAACCAUGCACCGAAGCUGCGGCAGCGACACUAUGUGUUGUUGGGUAGGGGAGCGUUCUGUAAGCCUGCGAAGGUGUGCUGUGAGGCAUGCUGGAGGUAUCAGAAGUGCGAAUGCUGACAUAAGUAACGAUAAAGCGGGUGAAAAGCCCGCUCGCCGGAAGACCAAGGGUUCCUGUCCAACGUUAAUCGGGGCAGGGUGAGUCGACCCCUAAGGCGAGGCCGAAAGGCGUAGUCGAUGGGAAACAGGUUAAUAUUCCUGUACUUGGUGUUACUGCGAAGGGGGGACGGAGAAGGCUAUGUUAGCCGGGCGACGGUUGUCCCGGUUUAAGCAUGUAGGCUGGUUGUCCAGGCAAAUCCGGAUAAUCAAGGCUGAGGUGUGAUGACGAGGCACUACGGUGCUGAAGUAACAAAUGCCCUGCUUCCAGGAAAAGCCUCUAAGCAUCAGGUAACAUUAAAUCGUACCCCAAACCGACACAGGUGGUCAGGUAGAGAAUACCAAGGCGCUUGAGAGAACUCGGGUGAAGGAACUAGGCAAAAUGGUGCCGUAACUUCGGGAGAAGGCACGCUGGUGUGUAGGUGAAGUCCCUGCGGAUGGAGCUGAGACCAGUCGAAGAUACCAGCUGGCUGCAACUGUUUAUUAAAAACACAGCACUGUGCAAACACGAAAGUGGACGUAUACGGUGUGACGCCUGCCCGGUGCCGGAAGGUUAAUUGAUGGGGUUAUCCGUAAGGAGAAGCUCUUGAUCGAAGCCCCGGUAAACGGCGGCCGUAACUAUAACGGUCCUAAGGUAGCGAAAUUCCUUGUCGGGUAAGUUCCGACCUGCACGAAUGGCGUAAUGAUGGCCAGGCUGUCUCCACCCGAGACUCAGUGAAAUUGAACUCGCUGUGAAGAUGCAGUGUACCCGCGGCAAGACGGAAAGACCCCGUGAACCUUUACUAUAGCUUGACACUGAACAUUGAGCCUUGAUGUGUAGGAUAGGUGGGAGGCUUUGAAGCGUGGACGCCAGUCUGCGUGGAGCCAACCUUGAAAUACCACCCUUUAAUGUUUGAUGUUCUAACGUUGGCCCCUGACCGGGGUUGCGGACAGUGUCUGGUGGGUAGUUUGACUGGGGCGGUCUCCUCCCAAAGCGUAACGGAGGAGCACGAAGGUUAGCUAAUCCUGGUCGGACAUCAGGAGGUUAGUGCAAUGGCAUAAGCUAGCUUGACUGCGAGCGUGACGGCGCGAGCAGGUGCGAAAGCAGGUCAUAGUGAUCCGGUGGUUCUGAAUGGAAGGGCCAUCGCUCAACGGAUAAAAGGUACUCCGGGGAUAACAGGCUGAUACCGCCCAAGAGUUCAUAUCGACGGCGGUGUUUGGCACCUCGAUGUCGGCUCAUCACAUCCUGGGGCUGAAGUAGGUCCCAAGGGUAUGGCUGUUCGCCAUUUAAAGUGGUACGCGAGCUGGGUUUAGAACGUCGUGAGACAGUUCGGUCCCUAUCUGCCGUGGGCGCUGGAGAAUUGAGGGGGGCUGCUCCUAGUACGAGAGGACCGGAGUGGACGCAUCACUGGUGUUCGGGUUGUCAUGCCAAUGGCACUGCCCGGUAGCUAAAUGCGGAAGAGAUAAGUGCUGAAAGCAUCUAAGCACGAAACUUGCCCCGAGAUGAGUUCUCCCUGAGACUUUAAGUCUCCUGAAGGAACGUUGAAGACGACGACGUUGAUAGGCCGGGUGUGUAAGCGCAGCGAUGCGUUGAGCUAACCGGUACUAAUGAACCGUGAGGCUUAACCUU
rnacentral:rRNA from 1 species